UCUCCACAGUCCCUGAACACACUGACUCUAAACAUGGAAUGGAGCUGGAUCUUUCUCUUCCUCCUGUCAGGAACUGCAGGUGUCCACUCCCAGGUCCAGCUACAACAAUCUGGACCUGAGCUUGUAAAGCCUGGGGCUUCAGUGAAGAUGUCCUGCAAGGCUUCUGGAUACACCUUCACUGACUAUGCUACGCACUGGGUGAAGCAGAAGCCUGGGCAGGGCCUUGAGUGGAUUGGAUAUAUUAUUCCUUACAAUGAUGGUACAAAGUACAAUGAGAAGUUCAAAGGCAAGGCCACACUGACUUCAGACAAAUCCUCCAGCACUGCCUACAUGCAGCUCAGCAGCCUGACAUCUCAGGACUCUGCGGUCUAUUACUGUGCAAGACACAGUGUUGUAACCACAUCCCGAAUGUGUCAGAAACCCCCAACGUGUAGGAACCUGCCCUGGGACUUAGAUAACAGAAAGCCUGACUUUUAG